GACGAACGCUGGCGGCGUGCUUAACACAUGCAAGUCGAACGGAAAGGCCCUGCUUUUGUGGGGUGCUCGAGUGGCGAACGGGUGAGUAACACGUGAGUAACCUGCCCUUGACUUUGGGAUAACUUCAGGAAACUGGGGCUAAUACCGGAUAGGAGCUCCUGCUGCAUGGUGGGGGUUGGAAAGUUUCGGCGGUUGGGGAUGGACUCGCGGCUUAUCAGCUUGUUGGUGGGGUAGUGGCUUACCAAGGCUUUGACGGGUAGCCGGCCUGAGAGGGUGACCGGCGACAUUGGGACAGAGAUACGGCUAACAGCCCAGUGGGAGUAAUGGGGGGGGAGUGUUGGAGACGGGGAGGGAGCCUGCUGCAGCGACGCGGUGGGGGGGAGGGUGGCCGUCGUGGUUGACACGUGGUGCGGCUGAGAGUAGGCGGGGGGGACGGGAAGGGGAAAAGAAGCACCGGGAACCGACGUGACGGAAGGCGCGGAAAUGAUGGAAGAGCACACGUCUGACC
rnacentral:rRNA from 1 species